CUGCAACUCGACUACGUGAAGCUGGAAUCGCUAGUAAUCGCAGAUCAGAAUGCUGCGGUGAAUACGUUCCCGGGUCUUGUACACACCGCCCGUCACACCAUGGGAGUCGGAAAUGCCCGAAGCCGGUGACCCAACCAAAAGGAGGGAGCCGUCGAAGGCAGGUCUGAUAACUGGGGUGAAGUCGUAACAAGGUAGC
rnacentral:rRNA from 1 species